rnacentral:tRNA from 1 species
CAACAAAUAUUUUAUUUUAAAAUAUUAAUUUUGGGUAUUUAAGAUGUAGGUUUUUCUACUUUGUUGA